rnacentral:rRNA from 1 species
UACGUAGGGUGCAAGCGUUGUCCGGAUUUAUUGGGCGUAAAGAGCUCGUAGGCGGUCUGUCGCGUCGGAUGUGAAAACCCAGGGCUCAACCCUGGGCCUGCAUUCGAUACGGGCAGACUAGAGUGUGGCAGGGGAGACUGGAAUUCCUGGUGUAGCGGUGAAAUGCGCAGAUAUCAGGAGGAACACCAGCGGCGAAGGCGGCAUCCUGGACUGGUCCUGACGCUCAGGAGCGAAAGCGUGGGGGAGCGAACAGG